rnacentral:rRNA from 1 species
CCUACGGGAGGCAGCAGUGGGGAAUUUUGGACAAUGGGGGCAACCCUGAUCCAGCAAUGCCGCGUGAGUGAAGAAGGCCUUCGGGUUGUAAAGCUCUUUUGUCAGGGAAGAAACAGCAGCUCUAACACAGUCUGCGAAUGACGGUACCUGAAGAAUAAGCACCGGCUAACUACGUGCCAGCAGCCGCGGUAAUACGUAGGGUGCAAGCGUUAAUCGGAAUUACUGGGCGUAAAGCGUGCGCAGGCGGUUAUACAAGACAGGCGUGAAAUCCCCGGGCUUAACCUGGGAAUGGCGUCUGUGACUGUAUGACUAGAGUGUGUCAGAGGGGGGUAGAAUUCCACGUGUAGCAGUGAAAUGCGUAGAUAUGUGGAGGAAUACCAAUGGCGAAGGCAGCCCCCUGGGAUAACACUGACGCUCAUGCACGAAAGCGUGGGGAGCAAACAGGAUUAGAUACCCUGGUAGUCCACGCCCUAAACGAUGCCGACUAGUUGUUGGGAAUUUACAUUCUCAGUAACGUAGCUAACGCGUGAAGUCGGCCGCCUGGGGAGUACGGUCGCAAGAUUAAAACUCAAAGGAAUUGACGG